AUGAGGUACACGAGGCACGAGCUGGAGGCGCUCAGCGGCGCGCCGUCGCGGGAGGCGCAGGCGCUGCGGUGGGCCGAGGCGUACGCGGCCCUCGCCGCCGCGGGCUUCUCCGGGGACUACGACGGCCUCCUCGCCUCCGACGAGCCGCUGACCAGGAGGGGGAAGAAGGUCUCCGGGGGCGGGAAGAAGAGGGCCGAGGCGGCGGCGCGCCAGUUCUCCGAGGCGACGGAGGUGGGUGCCUGGAGAAACGGGGAUUCGGGGGUUCAUCAGGCGGCUGGAGAGCCGUUUGAUCAGGGUGGGGAUGUGGAGUAUGAAGAUGACAGUGAUGAUGAGUAUGAUGGCAUUUUGAAGCCUGCCUUUGCUGUUGAUGGGGAGCCUGAUUUCGAGUCCGGCGAGCCGCUUGACGGUUUCGAGUAUCUCCGGCGUGUCAGGUGGGAAGCUAACCAGAUUCCUAAAGUGAAGGUGGCCAAGAUAGAUUUGAGUGCAGCUAGAAAGGAGCAAACACCUUAUAUGCCAGAAAUUCCUGACAUACCAAAGUGUUCACCUGAUUUAUGUGCAUCAAAGGAAUGGGAGGACUCGUUUAUUACUUAUUUUUCAGAGACAAGGCUGGCAUUCUUGGAACUUGACAGCUCGGAUGGACCAUCUGUAUCAGGAGCGGUGAAUAGCCCCUGUAAACCUGGCAUCAGCUUUGAGCCGCAGAUUGACCCGACGCUGACGAUGAUUCGCAAAAUGGACGCAGUUUCAAGAGCUGCAACACUGCGCAACUACAUCGACAUGAUCCAAAGCUUUGACAUGCUAUCAAGGAAUGACUGCCUGUGGCUGUUUGCGCUAUGCGUCGCUGUCGAGCCGCCCUUGGACGCAGAGACAUGCGCGUCACUGAGGUCGAUGCUGCGCAAGUGCUCAACCAUCCUCGCCACCAAGUCGGAGAUGGACGAUGAAGUCGUGAUGCUGAACAUACUCGUGGCCAUCUCAGGUUUGUACUUCGGGCAGUAUGAGAAGUAG
rnacentral:rRNA from 1 species